rnacentral:rRNA from 1 species
CCACGGGGGGCUGCAGUUAGGAAUAUUUUGCAAUGCGCGAAAGCGAGACAAAUUGAGCCAGAGUGAUUUUCAAAAUUGAAAAUCUUUUGUGAAAUGUAAAAAGUUUCACGAAUAAGGACUGGGUAAGACUAGUGCCAGCCGCCGCGGUAAUACUAGCGGUCCAAGUCGCAGCCAUUUUUAUUGGGUCUAAAACAUCCGUAGCUUGUAGAGUAAGUUUCUUGUGAAAUUUUGUAUCUCAAAUACGAAGCGUGCAAGAAAUACUGCUCUGCUAGAGACUGGAAGACGUAAGAAGUACGUUCUAAGUAAUGGUAAAAUAUGUUAAUCUGGAACGGACUCACAAUAGCGAAGGCAUCUUACGAGGACAGUUCUGACAGUAAGGGAUGAAAGCUAGGGGCGCAAAACGGAUUAGAUACCCGAGUAGUC